CUCCGGGCCCGUGCUGGGCGGGAAGGCGGUGCCCGGGCCGAGGUGGCGGCGGCUCCUCAGGACGGAAGCUCCUGUUUUCUUGUCAGCCGCCGGCUGAGGGCCAUUCGCAGCUUCUCCAGGACACCUGCAUUCCUCGUCUCAGAGCCUCCCUCCUGCAUCCUCCAAGCCAGCAGUUGUGGGAUGGGAGAAGAAGUUGUCCAUGUUCACACUGGGUGAAGGAAGCCGAAACCACAGACAUGACUGAGUCCUCCAUGAAGAAGCUGGCCUCCACCCUGCUGGAUGCCAUCACCGAUAAGGACCCCCUGGUGCAGGAGCAGGUCUGCAGUGCCUUGUGCUCCCUUGGGGAGGUGCGGCCGGUGGAGACGCUCCGUGCCUGCGAGGAGUACCUGCGGCAGCAUGACAAGCUGGUGCACCCAUACCGAGCGGCGGUCCUGAGGGCUAUGGAGAGGGUCCUGAGCAGUCGCGCCAGUGAGCUGGACAAGGACACAGCCAGCACCAUCAUCCUCCUGGCCUCCAACGAGAUGACCAAGACGAAGGACCUGGUCUGGGACUGGCAGCAGGCGGCGAGUGGUGUCCUGGUGGCCGUGGGAAAGCAGUUCAUCAGCAAGGUGAUGGAGGAGCUGCUGCGCAGGCUGCACCCCGGGACCCUGCCACACUGCGCCGUGCUGCACACCCUCGCCAGCCUCUCAGUGGCCAACGCGUUCGGCGUAGUCCCCUUCCUGCCAUCCGUCCUGAGCUCCCUGCUGCCCGUGCUGGGCAUGGCCAAGCAGGACACGGUGCGUGUGGCGUUCUGCUCCGCUCUGCAGCGCUUCAGCGAGGGUGCCCUGGAGUACCUGGCCAACCUGGACCGAGCCCCAGACCCCACGGUCAGGAAGGACGCCUUUGCCACCGACAUCUUCAGUGCCUACGAUGUUCUCUUCCACCAGUGGCUGCAGAGUCGCGAAGCCAAGCUGCGUCUUGCCGUGGUGGAGGCUCUGGGGCCUAUGAGCCAUCUGCUGCCCAGUGAGAGGCUGGAAGAGCAGCUGCCCAAGCUCCUCCCUGGGAUCCUCGCCCUCUACAAGAAGCACGCAGAGACCUUCUACUUGUCCAAGAGCCUGGGCCAGAUCCUCGAGGCGGCCGUGAGUGUGGGCAGCCGCACACUGGAGACCCAACUGGAUGCCCUCUUGGCUGCACUGCACUCCCAGGUAGGAGGCGGGCGUCGGGGUGGGUCCAGGUUCUGCACACCCUUCCGUGGGAAGUUGCUGGACGAGGGGUGCAGAAAGCAAGUCGGGGUGGACGGCUCAGCCACGUGGGGCUGAGGACUGGGCAUUCCCUGAAGGUCACUCGGGUGACUUCUUAGCGAUGUGGCGAUGCUCUUGCCCUGCCCAGCAGUGGCACAUGCAGGUGACAUAGGAGCCCCCAGGAUGGAGGUGGCAGGAGUGGGUGCCCAGGCCCAGUGCAGGCCCAGUACAGGUGGUCCCUGAGAAAGGUCAGUACAGCCAAAGUGCCAGUUGGGGAAGACUGCCCUGGGUUUCUGGGGAUGGAGCUCAGAGGAGCAGAGGAGAGGCCCGGGGCUGCAGGAUGGGGGUCUUGAAGGCCCUGCUGGAGAGGAAGUGAUGUGGGGAGGAGGCUGAGCAGCUGGGACCCCUCCCCAGCUCGGGUGAAUGAGGCUGAGAACGACUGAGGGACGCAGGUGCCGGGUCACCCAUGACCUUGGCACUGGGGGUCAUCUGUCCAUGGGACUUUCUGGAUGAGAGAGGAGAGGGGCAGGGAGCUAGAGAGGGUGGUGUGGUGAAGUCUGCAAGGAGACUUUCUGAAAAGAAGUGUGGAGGUGUGGGCUCGUGUGGAGGUGUGGGCUUGUGUGUGGAGGUGGGUUUACUGCUUGGCUCUGCCCCUCACCUGGCCCACUCCAGCUGGGCCCCACUCUCCACUGCCUGGAUGGUCCUGGCUGCAUCCCAGAAACAAAGGGGAAGAGGGGAUGGCAGCCACAGAGCUAGUAAACAUAAUGUAAGUGCUGUGAACAGUUACAUGGUAACAAACUGUUAAAACUGUACGAAAUGGUUAGGUUCUUAGAAAGAUAAAAAUGUCAAAAUUGGUACGAAAAGCAACAGAG
rnacentral:sRNA from 1 species